rnacentral:rRNA from 1 species
GAUGAACGGCUGGCGGCGUGCUUAACACAUGCAAGUCGAACGGGAAACGAUUUUAUUGAAGCUUCGGCAGAUUUAGCUUGUUUCUAGUGGCGGACGGGUGAGUAACGCGUGGGUAACCUGCCUCACACUGGGGGAUAACAGUCAGAAAUGACUGCUAAUACCGCAUAAGCGCACGGAACCGCAUGGUUUUGUGUGAAAAACUCCGGUGGUGUGAGAUGGACCCGCGUUGGAUUAGCUAGUUGGUAAGGUAACGGCUUACCAAGGCGACGAUCAGUAGCCGACCUGAGAGGGUGACCGGCCACAUUGGGACUGAGACACGGCCCAA